UACGUAGGGGGCAAGCGUUGUCCGGAUUUAUUGGGCGUAAAGAGCGUGUGGGCGGCUAGAUAGGUCCGUUGUGAAAACUCGAGGCUCAACCUCGAGACGUCGAUGGAAACCAUCUGGCUAGAGUCCGGAAGAGGAGAGUGGAAUUCCUGGUGUAGCGGUGAAAUGCGCAGAUAUCAGGAAGAACACCCGUGGCGAAGGCGGCUCUCUGGGACGUGACUGACGCUGAGACGCGAAAGCGUGGGGAGCGAACAGG
rnacentral:rRNA from 1 species